CAUUUUCCACUCGUUCGCCGACUGUUUGUGCUGGGAUCCUAGUGGCUGGAAAAUGUAAAAAGCUCUACCGAUUGCGAAUCGCAAUCCCCCAAGGUCCGUAUAAUCCCAAGUGGCUCUGUACGGUAGCUGCAGUUGAUUAAUACCUUGCUCAAAUAGUACAGAUGAUAAGACAAGCCGAGAGAUCCUCGUUAGAUUUAAUGUGUCGCACAAGUAUUUUAUUAGAUUUCCAUGCCCAAUUAGCACACUUUAGUCACUUUACACCCUUAUCAUUCACAUUUUGCACUUGAGCUUGCUCAUUUACAAGGCUCUUCCAAUAAAGUGGCCCAAUUCGUGUCAUUAUCGUAUUGAGUUUCAAGAUUCAACGCCGAUUUCCCACAUUUACGAGCUGUUAUCACUCGUGUUCAACUUAUCGGUGAAGGAUAACGCAAGCUACUAUCAACUGUAACGAUGGAUAAACAAGAUAGCAGCAUUCGUAGUAAAUGUUUUCGAUUAUGCCCGGCAAAAUAGUUGCCCCACUUGAGAGCGAGUCAAUCAUUUAAUCGCAUGUUAUUACAUACCCAAAACCAUAAUUUCACUUUUGCCAUUUGAAAGGGAAAAUGCUCAAGUGAAAAAUUACAGAAAUUUGAAUCUAAAUGGAAAUUAUAGAAAUUAUUUUGAUUUACUAUCUUUAGCUUGGCGCGUGUGGAUGAAAUUUUCUUUGACACUUUGUCAUGUGUUUUCUUAGCCUGAUAACAGAAAUAUCGCCUAUUUCUAGGCAAAUACGAGUCUUUUGAGUCGAACGACAAACAAAAUUU